rnacentral:rRNA from 1 species
UACGUAGGGGGCAAGCGUUGUCCGGAAUCAUUGGGCGUAAAGCGCGUGUAGGCGGCUCGGUAAGUCUGCUGUGAAAGUCCAGGGCUCAACCCUGGGAUGCCGGUGGAUACUGUCGAGCUCGAGUCCGGAAGAGGCGAGUGGAAUUCCUGGUGUAGCGGUGAAAUGCGCAGAUAUCAAGGAGGAACACCAUGGCGAAGGCAGCUCGCUGGGACGUGACUGACGCUGAGACGCGAAAGCGUGGGGAGCAAACAGG